UAAUACGGAGGGGGCCAGCGUUGUUCGGAAUCAUUGGGCGUAAAGGGCGCGUAGGCGGCCAAGCAAGUCGGAGGUGAAAUCCCUCGGCUCAACCGGGGAACUGCCCCCGAUACUGCUUGGCUCGAGUCCCGGAGAGGGUAGUGGAAUUCCCAGUGUAGCGGUGAAAUGCGUAGAUAUUGGGAGGAACACCGGUGGCGAAGGCGGCUACCUGGACGGGUACUGACGCUGAGGCGCGAAAGCGUGGGGAGCAAACAGGAUUAGAUACCCUGGUAGUCCACGCCGUAAACGUUGGGCACUUGGUGUUGCGGGUAUCGACCCCUGCAGUGCCGAAGCUAACGCAUUAAGUGCCCCGCCUGGGGAGUACGGUCGCAAGGCUG
rnacentral:rRNA from 1 species